UAGCUGCAGGGGCGACCGGCGCGGGGGGGCAGAGGGGUCCCCCCUGCAGGGUUGUAGCGCUGGAGUCCUACCCAGGCUCGCCCAGGGCACCCCCUCUGCCGUGAGCUGCGGGCAGAACCGUGGGAGAGCUGAGGUGCCCCCCGCCGUGCUGGGGGGGUCCCUUUUUAAUGUGGGAGAUAUUCCCCCCCCCCAGCUCCUGGGUCUGCGUGAAGCCGUCGAGCAGCGCACGGGGGGUUGGGGGGGUGUAAUCCACGCUACACGUUCCUGCCUUUACCUUUAUUUUCUUCAGAUGUGACAUUACUCCUAGCACUUCCUUGAGCCGCUGCAUCUUCUUAAGAGCAAAUAAUCAUUGCUGAAGCUACUAACCCCCAUAUUUCUAAUCGCCGCUCACUGUUUUUCCUAGAGCACUUUGUAUUGUGACAUUAGCAGUUUGUUCUUUAAAAGAAAAAAAAAAGGGGGGAGAAGGAAAGGGGGAAAUCCAGAACUAAGUUUAUUCUUUAGGAUCAUAUGACAGAUUUCCUGGGUUGGUACCCCAGCUUCCUCAGUUUCCUUUAAUCCACCCAUGAGAAUUGCAUUUGUCAGGUGCCAUUUUGUCACUUUCUCCAGGACUCUAAUGCUUUUUCAUAUCAACACUUGUGUGGAACCAGGUUCUACAAUAUUCACUACAGGCAAGAUUUGCAAAAGUUGAAAGCCCCUAGAUGCUUUUGAGAAUCCCACGAGUUGCCUAAAUACCUUUUAAAAAAAAUUUGGCCCUCAGGGCCCACUAUUAUCUUGUAUGUAAUAAUUCUCAAAGGCAAAUUCCUGCUUUUUUUAAAGUAUAGGUAUACAGCCCCAAGACAGACAAGUAUUCAAACAUCAUGAGUCAUACACCCACAAAAGUAAUGAAAUUAAAAAUAGGGCUUAUUUUAAUUUGCCUUUUUAUUUGUUAUUAGGGUACAGUAGUUCUACACUUUUCCUGUUGCCUCUCCCAAAAGAUUCAUAUCUAGAACAGUUGCACAUUCCUGUAACAUUAAAUACAGUUUUGGACAUCUAGUAAUGAGAUUCCCUCCCUCUCCCUUUAUUGAAAACACUUCAAAAAUUCCUUAUUUCUGUAAUUAAUUCCCCAUCCUGCAAAUGCUGAAAUGCACACUUUGCUCGUUACUUCAUUUGUUGCAUGCAUAAAUGUUUUCUACUGCAUUUAUAUUUCUGAUUGCAUUUUUAAAUUUCAUAGCCUUUUAUAUGCUACAUUUCAGAGAUGUUAAUCAUUCUGAAGAGUUCACUGUUCUGCCAGAAAUGAAGGCUUU